GCCGGGUGUGGUGGCGCGCGCCUGUAAUCCAAGUUUCCUGGAGGCUGAGGCUGGAGGAUGGUUGGAGCUCAGGAACUCUGUGCUGCAGUGGACUAUGCUGAUCGGGUGUCUGCACUCAGUUCAGUAUCGACAUGGUCUUCCUGGGGGAGCCCAGGACAACCAGGUUGUCUAAGGAGGGGUGAAUCGGCCCAGGUCGGAAACGGAGCAGGUCAAAGCCCACGUGCUGAUCAAAAGUGGGAUCGCACCUGAGAGUAGAUGCUGCAGCACAGCCGGAGUUACUCAUCCAGACCCAGCCUUU
rnacentral:SRP_RNA from 1 species